GACGAACGCUGGCGGCGUGCCUAAUACAUGCAAGUUGAGCGCUGAAGGUUGGUACUUGUACCGACUGGAUGAGCAGCGAACGGGUGAGUAACGCGUGGGGAAUCUGCCUUUGAGCGGGGGACAACAUUUGGAAACGAAUGCUAAUACCGCAUAAAAACUUUAAACACAAGUUUUAAGUUUGAAAGAUGCAAUUGCAUCACUCAAAGAUGAUCCCGCGUUGUAUUAGCUAGUUGGUGAGGUAAAGGCUCACCAAGGCGAUGAUACAUAGCCGACCUGAGAGGGUGAUCGGCCACAUUGGGACUGAGACACGGCCCAAACUCCUACGGGAGGCAGCAGUAGGUAAUCUUCGGCAAUGGACGAAAGUCUGACCGAGCAACGCCGCGUGAGUGAAGAAGGUUUUCGGAUCGUAAAACUCUGUUGGUAGAGAAGAACGUUGGUGAGAGUGGAAAGCUCAUCAAGUGACGGUAACUACCCAGAAAGGGACGGCUAACUACGUG
rnacentral:rRNA from 1 species